UUUUUCAUAAAGCUUUUCUUAAAAACAAACAAAUAAAACCAGGUAGGUUGCUGGCUUUCACCAGUCUUGCUGGCCUCUGCUCUGGUCCUUCAUCACCUCUGCUUCCAUUAUUUCCAGAUGGAGCACUAGUAGUGAUGUGAGCCCAGGAUUCUGUUGUAUUUCUUACUACUCAUGAAGCAUUUCUGACGAACAGACCAUUGUCAUAGCUACUCAAAAAUUUCAUCACUCAAUUUCUUGAAUGUUAAAAGUGGCCUUAACUGGUUGCACUACUUUUCAGUUGCUGUGAUAAAACACUGUGGCCAAGGAAACUUAUAGAAAGAGUUUAUUUGGAUAUAGGUUCCAGAGAAAUAAGGGUCUAUCAUGGUGAGAGGCAUGGCACUAAUCCACAGGAUAGCAAAGAGCCAAAGAGCAAGAAGCUGAGAGCUCACAUUGCAACUAUGUGCAGGGAGCAGAGAGUGAGUUGGAGAUGUCAUGGUGCCAUGAGGCUGUUUUUUUUUUUGUGGUGCCCUUGACUCUACUGGCUCCCCAAGCUCUGCCUAAGCCUGAUGUUUGGCUGUGGGUCUCUGUCUCUGUUUUCAUCAGUUGCUGGGUAAAGCCUCUCUGACAGUUGGGCUAGGUACUGAUGCAUGAGGAUAGCAGAAUAUCAUUAGGAAUCAUUUAAUUGAUUUCGAAAAAUUAAUUUUGUUGUAUUCAUUUAUUUUUUUUUACAUCCCCAAAUUUCCCUUCUUUUCUCCCCAGUUUCUCUCCCAAUCUUCUCUCCCCCCAUCCACCCCUCCUCUGUUUCUUUUCAGAUAUGGACAGGCCUCCCAUGGAUAUCCUCUAGCUGUGGUAUAUCAAAUUUCAGUGAAAUUAUGAAUCUCUUCUUCUAUUAAGUUUGAAUGAGGCAAUCUGGUAGGAGGAAUGGGUCCCCAAAGCAGGCAACACAGUCAGACAGCCCCUGCUCCCUCGUCUAGGAGCCCCACAGGAAGACCAAGUUACACAACUGUGACAAAUGUGCAGAGGGCUGAGGUCAGUCCUGCACAGGCUCCCAGGUUUCAGUUCAGUCUCUGUGCGCUCCUAUGAGCCCAGGUUAGUUGGUUCUGUGGGUUUUCUUGAGGCAUCUUUGACCCCACUGGAGCCUACAAUCUUUCCUCCCUCUGUUCUCCAGGAUUACUGGAACUCUACCUAAUGUUUGACUUACCCCCCAUGUUUGAUUCUAUCCUAGGUCUUUGGGGGUUCUAUCCUAGGUCUCUGGGGUGUCCUGCCUCUGGGUCCUGGCCCUCAGUGGUUGAAGAUAGAUAAUUCGAGCCUGGAUAAUGGAGAAACUGUUGGAGAAAAUAAAAGAGAGCAAACCCAGCUUGAGGAUUGACAAUGCCACCAGCACAACUGCACCAUCGCCUUGUGACCCCAUCUCUGAGUAUGCCGAAACUGUUCCUCUGACAGCUUAGGGAAGGCAAUCUGGGCUGGAAGACAUCCGGAGCACCGAGUGAUACGACUUGACACUCAUUGACUAAGACACUGACUUUUUCUCUCUGCUUAAUGGUAAAUUCUGCACACAUCACACACCCACUUUUGUCCACCAUGUGUUCUCACCAGCAUAAUAAAAGUUUUAAGUCACUCCA